ACGUCGUUUUUUACACUUCCCUAUUCUGCACAAUGCUAAUACCACUCCUCACUCCAAUGGAUAUUACUCCUGCAAACAUUUAUACUUACUGCCGAAAAUGGUACCAAAAUAAUCAUGAAUAAAUUAUCUAUCAACUGUAGUACGGGUUUUAUCUAAUUAUGUGAAACAAAAUAAAACGAGCAAAAAGUUUCACAAGCAUUUUUUGUAAUAUGUCGUUUUUCUGCCAGUCUUGGGACGUUUUGACUGUCAUUUUAUACUUUCGAUUUCGGAUAUUUUAAGAAUUGUUUUGAUUGUCAAUGACUUUACAAGGAUACAUUGACGUCUCCUGCAUCGUGAGAAAUAAAGCCAUAGAAUACAUUCAUACCACUCAAAUUCAGCCAGUCAGAAUGAUGGGAAGGAUUGCAGAACUGAGUUUCACUCUCACCUGACUGAUGCAGAUUCAGUAACCUAAUUGCUCAUGAUGGUUUCUGAGAAAAAAACAGCUUGGUGUAAUUUGACAGUAUUUUUCAGUAUUUGACAGUGGUUCUAUCAUGCAACAGUCAUACCAUGAAGUGUCUCACAGAUUCUCUCUCAAUUCCUGCAAUAUCCAAGAUUACAGUGUAGUGCAAAGAGGAUUAAUUUUCUUGCAAUAAGAAGUAUCUGCACUUCCAAAUACCCCUGUACAGCAUGAACAGUUCCUUCAUUUUUGAGUGAUUAUAGAGUGAAAAUGUUUCCAUAUAAAAUGUUUUCUUUUUAUGUGUAAAACUUGUUAUGAAUGGUUACAAAUACAUGCAUGGACAUUAUGAUUCCAAAUCUAUGCACAUUUUGAUUCCAAUAAUUAAAGUAUUUUAAAUUUGGUUUGAAACAGAAAUAUUGUCCUUAGGCCUAAAAAAAAUACAUUUGGUUCGGGUUACCCGACCCUACCUACGGAAUAGGCGCCGACCCUACCGUUUUUAUAGUCAAUUUGAAAAAAAAAAAAAAUUAAAAAAAAAAAAAAAAAAAUCUCGUUUUUUUUUAAAUUGCUUUUUAAUAUUAAGUUUAAACCUUAAAUGCUUAUACAGAAGAUAGCUUUAACACCAUUCUCCAAUGAUGAAAAUUAUUUUCUUAUAUAAAACCUAAUAAAAAAAAAAAAUAAAAAAAAAUAAAAAGCCUACCUACCCUACCUAUUUUUUUUAAGGAUGUAACCCUAACCAAACAAUUUUUUUUUUAGGCCUUACGUUUGUUUCUAAACAUUAUCUGGUAUUAUUCGUGUUUAUAGUUUCCAUGUCAAUUUAAAAAAGUCAGUUCUUUUAAAGAUGCACUCUUACUCCCACAUAAGAUUUACCACAAUUAAUACUUUUGUUUUAUUAUUCCAAAAAGGAUGAAUAAAUGUUGAAAACAAUGGUUCUAAUGAAGGAUGCCUACUUCUACUUGAAGGAAAUGUGCAUAAAAGACAGUAUUUCUACCAUUUGAGAUCAUAGUAGAUCACAGUAAAUCUUUAUGCAUUCACCAAUCAUUUAAUAUCUUUGCUUUUUCAGCUUAAAUACACGGUUACAAUAUUUUUAUCAAUACUUAAUAUUUUCCAAAAAUGAAUUAUUAAGUAAGUUGUUAAAGGGUUAACAGUCAAAGUGUAUGUUUGUUAUACAUGUGUAUGCAUUGAUACUGAAUAAGAGUGUCACUUUAAACAGUUGCCAUGGUAACUAUAGAGUCUAGUUUUCUUAAGAAACUGUAAUUGUUGUCUAAAAACCUUUGUAUUUUCAAUGUGAUACUUUUUAGCAUGUCCGCUUCAGUCAAUGAAAUAUUUCUGUUAUUUGUUAAUCAUUUGGUCAUACUUUGUAUAGAAUUAUAUUUAUAAUUUAACCUUGAAAAUUGCUGACAAUCUCAUACUUAUAUUGAAAUAUUCAGAAUUGCUAGAUGGGUUGAAGUUCACCUUUAUUACAACUGUCAGGCAAUCAUGGCAAGAUGUACAUAAUUCUCAUUUUUAACAAAAAGCGAUGUUUAAAGCAUUUUUUGUAUUUUUAUUGAAUGGUUACCAUGGCAACUAAUUUUUUGUUUGCCUUUAAUCUUCCUAUUUAUAAUACUAUUCAUUGUAAAAAUGCAACAGUCAAGCAGUGAAUGGAAGAAUGUAAAUGUUCUUUGUCUUUUACCUUUUUCAAGCUCAUUCUUCAAAAUAUUAAGCAAUUUUAAAAUUUCUUAAAAAUGGACGUUUUUUCAUCAUUUUUUUAAAGUAAAAUAAUUUGCUUAAAAUUUGUUUAGGUUCUGAUAUUUAGGAAUGUGUAUUAAAUUUAUAGAAAAUAAACAAAAUGUGUUGUUUGACAUUAUUCAUUUCAUUUAAAUUCCGAAGUUUUGAAUUUGACCUAUUUUGGCAGAAAAAUUGAUAAAAAUGUAAAAUUAAAAGGGCCAUAAUUCUGUCAAAAAUUGAUGGAUUUUGAAAAAAUGUGCAUAUUUGAGUUUGUAAUGACAUAACCUUUAAAAUGAUAUAUCACUUUAAUAUACCGCAUUAAAUUAUUUUUUUACGUUGUUAUUGCUACCCAUGGAUGCUAAACUCAACCUGUUAGGAUGAAUAAUUAUGCAUGGCCUUGUAUAUUAAACUUAGGUAUGCAUGAAUAAAGCUCUUUGCAAGAGUUUGAGAACACGUGAACCGUCUUUGGAAAUUAGACCGGAAACGCGUUACACGCAUGCGUCAAUCCAAGAUGGCCGCGCCCAGGGGUAAAUGAAAACAAAUGAGUACUUGCUUAUAUUGAAGUGAAUAACGACUGUUUAACACACGGAUUGAUUGUAAUUUGUUAUUGUAACAUGUGUUUUUAUACUUUCAGUAUAUAAUACAUAGCCAUAAGCUGUCAUUGCUGAAUUUGGCAGUUUAGUUGAGUGAUGAGAUACCAUUUGUAAGAUCUUGCAGAUCUGUGUUUGGAUACAGAGCUUGUUACACAAGCCUCCAGAUCACACAUUGUUGUGACAGAUGGUUUCGUGAUCCUGAAAGUGGGGGCUCGCUGGUGUUGUUACAUCCAGGUGUUAGUUAUUAACCCGUUGCACGGGCAGACAUAUCACUGGACAUAAGUUGUAAUCAUUUUGCAUCAUCAACAUAUUACCAGGCUAAACAUCUAGUAUACAGUUGCACUGUACUAAAAUAGACUGUUUGAAAAUUUAAAUCUGAAUAUCUUAUUUGUUUAUUAAUUAAAAAUGGUAAGUUAGUUAGUUUUCUUUAACGCUGCUCUAUGUUAAUUGUUUUUGUGUUUUGAUCUUUAAGUAAUUUCUUUUGUAAGUUAAACUUUAUUUUAUUUAAACUUUGAUCUUGAGUAACUGGAUGAUUUUGUGAAAAUGGCGGAACACAUUAGCCAAGGUGAUCUUGCUCACCAAAUUAAAAGCAAUGAUGAUGCGAGAAUGAUCAGAGAGGAAGUCGGACACAUGGCCCAAGAACUGAACGCCCUGAAAAAGAUGCACCUUGCUUCUUUGGAAGAGUUUAAAAAGUACAAAAGACUGAACCCUCCAGGAGUAGCUGAGAAGGUGACCAUAGCGGACAAGCCUACUUAUGCUUCAACUCCGUACGACACUGACCAAGACGCUGCCUGGAGCCUAAGUAGGU